rnacentral:rRNA from 1 species
CAGUCGCCACGGUAAUACGUAGGCAGCGAGCGUUGUUCGGAAUUACUGGGCGUAAAGAGUGUGUAGGCGGUGCUAUAAGUUCGGUGUGAAAUCUCCCGGCUCAACUGGGAGGGUGCGCCGAAAACUGUAGUGCUCGAACGUGGGAGAGGAAAGCGGAAUUCCUGGUGUAGCGAUGAAAUGCGUAGAUAUCAGGAGGAACACCUGCGGUGUAGACGGCUUUCUGGACCAUUGUUGACGCUGAGACACGAAAGCGUGGGUAGCAAACAGGAUUAGAUACCCCAGUAGUCCCUGUCUCUUAUAU